UCCAAAGCCUGGUGUCCUUCUGAGAAGGGUAAAGUUUGGACACCAAGGCACACAGAAGGAAGAUGUGAGGACGGUGAGCGCCGUCUGCCCACCUUGCAGGCGCACCGCACGUGAAGGCUCGUGAGUCCUCUCUCGGUCAGUCCGGGACAUCGGGGCAAGUCCAAUGGCACAGAGGAGCCCAUCGCUGCAGUGCCCACUGACCUCACCUCCAAGUUCAGGGGAACCUCGGGAUUUCCCACAUCGAGCUUCCAUCCAGAACUUCCACGUCUCAGCUGCUGGACAACAGCAGACCCGAAGCUGAGCAGAGCCACCACUGAAACUGUGUCCGCUCCGGCAGGAACUGCUCCCAGGAGUUGUGCCUCCCACCACCUCCCCUCCUUGGACUUCAUUUUAAAAAUUCUCUGCGAAUCUAUUUAAAAACAACAACAACAACAACAACAAAACACAGAUAUGGCUCUUCCUUUUCUCUCUUCCUCGCCCAUUUAUUCCAGGAGGUUCGGCCCUGGUGGUUGUUACUCUAUUUGGAAGGCAAGAGGAGGUUAAUUAGCUUUUGUGACCUGAGAACUCUCAGGGAAGAUGUCAACCGAUUCACUAAUAGCUCCUCAAAGCUGGAUGUGGUUGGAGGGGCAAGGUCCAGGAAGCACGAUGCUCGGCCGGUUCGGUUGUGAACUCCACCCGGCAGGGCGGGGCAGGGGCUUGCAGGAUGGUGUUCCCCUGAGCAGUCCAGGUGAAGAUUCAUCCCUCGCAUGGGUCCUGUCCCCUGGCGGCCCCCAGUCCUCCAAGCCAUGAUGGAUUCUGGGGCCGAAUCUCACACUACAUCAUAGAAACCAUCCCUCAAACCCACACGUGUCACAUUUGGGCUCCCGAGCAUCUAAAACCAUGGUGCACGGUAAGCCAAGGCAGAGGACCAGUGAUGUGCCAGCCACAGCCUUCUAGGUUACUGCACCUGCAGACCGCCGUGUGAGAACGGGCCACUCCAGCGUCACCUGGGAGCCUGCUGGGAAUGCAGAAUCCCUGGCCCACUCCAGACCCGCUGAGUGGGAGUCUCUGGGCAUGGGGGCCCCACAGUGUGCAUCUCCACACACUCUCUGUGUCAUGUGGACCAAGUCCGAGUUGUGCAGCUCAGGCCCAAGCCCCUUCUGGCCACCUGAAAACAGCACAGAAAUCACCAUCUGCCCCAGACAAUCUGUCAAUCAAGAUGCAAGCCGGUGACUGUAAUGGAAAGCAAGGUCUCCAUUAGAUUAUUUUUUGUAAAUUGAGAUUUCUUGGCAAUUUCCUUCAGCACGUCCUGAAAUCACUGAGCAGGUGGAGGUCUCCUUCCUGACCCCUGGCAGCACAUUUUCCUUGACCGGCCUUCUGUCUAGAAUAUUGCAGUUACCGUAAUUACAAACGUACUGUGGCAGUCA